UAAACAGCCCGCCAUUAGAUGAACGUCGAAAACAAAACAGGGCAACAAAUGACGUUUGGGACAGAUUGUUUUGUAAUCGAAGCACGUGAUUUGCAUUGUUGACCAAUCGGUGAUCGUCAUUCCAAAACCACGACUUGUUCUGUUUGUUUCUUUAUUAUAUUUGCCUUCUUCUCACCCUGACACGUUGGCCAAAAAAGCGAGACCGACGAGCAUUCGAAUCAGGGGCAGCGAGGACGAGGUUGGCUUAGUGUUAGUAGAGCGUUUAUGGACAGAUUGAGCUUAAGUUUAGACAUCGUUGGUCGUCCGAGUUCAAGUAUUAUUGAGGAUCGCUGCGAUACUUCGAAAACGCUGGCGGUAGCAAUGUUUAUAUCAACAGGAAUUAGUCUCAGAUGAUAUUACUUUUGCGUUUUCUUUUACUCAUUUUAUCUUUUACUUCUAUUGUUUUGAACUUUUAUUCAUGUUUACUAUAUCGCUGUUAAUUUUGCAGUGUUUGUACCCCUUAUUUAAUAUUAAUUUUAUAUAUAUAUGUGUGCGGUAUUCAAUAUUGUGGAUUGCUACCUUAUUUUAUGUGCUAUCAUUCGAUAAUAGACUUUUAUUCCUGCCUGAUUAUCUAUAAAUCUGCUGUUUUGUUUACAUUUUUUAAGGACCUGCAACGUGAAAUGGAUGAUUUAUUACCGCCUCCACUCCAAAUCGAUUUUGUUCUACUAAAUCCCAGGGCAAGCCCUAUAUAUAUGCGGUUGUUCUUUAAGUGUUAUUUUGCCUGAAAAUAGCUGACGUUCAAAUUGGACAACGUAUAAUAGAUACAACUUUAUAGUGGCGUUCUUGGAGUGAAAUAUGUAUGAUUUUCUUUCUGUUCACGCUAAAAAUAAGUCAAAUGUAAUUUUUGAUAUUUUGCAUCCGCCACCAAUGCAAAAAUGUGAGAUCUGAGAAAAUCACCUCCGCCACGUUGUACAGUCAAGGAAUUGAAGCUUAAACAUUUUCAGUGAAAACUGAGAACGCGUGUUUUGUACGUCGUGAAAAUGUUGGAAUUUCAUCAAAAUAUUUAAAUAUAUUUCAAGCCUGUUUACUUGAACAAAGGGUCUAAAAAUCAGUUUCUUAGGGCAUGCAAAAACUGUUCCGAAGGGCAAUGGAUGGCACAUUGGAAACGACGGCGAAAAAUCGCCGAAAGAUCCGCUCUUAUUCUGAAUUCAAGAAUGGGGGUGCAAUAAUCGUUAAUUUCGAAGGAAUGCGAAAUAGAGUGUCAUUUAUCCAAGGGAAUAAGAAUUUGCUUUUCAUUCAAUCAAGUCCUCGAACAAAAACUUAUUGCGUUGCGAAGCAUGCGAGCAUAGUUUUUUCCGGGGGUGUCUCGGAACAAAGAUAGGCAUAAGAAGGGUGAAACAAAGAUCUUAAAUACAUCAUUCAAAGCAAGCGGGAAGCGUGUUAGAAAAGGAAGGUGCAAUAUUUCGAUAUUCUGAAUAAAACUAAAGUACCUAAGAACAAAGGGUCUAAAAAUCAGUUUCUCAUGGCAUGUAAAAACUGUUCCGAAGGGCAAUAGAUAGCACAGUGGAAACGACGGCAAAAAAAUAACUGAAACUUAUGCUGAUAUAUAUUCUGAACUGCUGAACAAAAUAGAAGAAGAAAGAAUGUGUAAAGUCUGUUUCAGUAAUCCUGCUGAUAUGGUUUUGCUACCCUGUCGUCAUUUACUUUGCUGUCUAGAUUGUACACAAAGGAUCAAACAAGGCAAUCGGAAAUGCCCUUAUUGUCGUAGGAGGAUUGGCAAUACAGUAAGAAUUUUCAGCAUUUGAAUUAAGAUACACACCGAAACAGUAUACUGAAGAAAAGCAUUGUGUCGCAUAUUGUAAAUAAAGUUUUAAUUGAAUUCUAUUUUUUUUUCUUGUGCUUAUUAUUUCUCAUAUUUCUUCUCUUUCUUAUUAUUUUAUUGUACAACUCUAAUACCUUCGCUUUCUGUAGUUUUAAAGAACUGGGCUUCAUUCUCCUGGCUGGUCUGACCCAUUACCCUUGUAAAAUUCAUCGAAGCCAUGUUAGAGUUCCUGCUUCAAGUGAAUGACUUUAUAGUUUUAUUCAAAUAAAGUACAAAUAUGUGCGAAAAGUUUUGAAUCUAGCUCUAUCACACCCAAGUUUUGUAUGAAGGUGGUACCGAAAAUGAGUAUUGUAUUUCAUCGGUAGGGCCCAAACUGAAUACUUAACUAUUCAGAAUACGUCCUGAAAGCAUAUUUUCAAAUAUGGAAUAUAUUCUAAACUGGGAACAUCUUUAUUCAAAAAUUACAAUAUUCUAUAUAUAUUUCGUUUCAUCAUAUUUGAAAUGGCACAAAUAUUAGGAUCAUUGUUUUCACAUUUCAUUUGCAUGCAUUUGAUGAACAUAUGCUUUGCCCUGCUUGGUUGAUGCCAAAUUUACGUCUCAAAAUCGACAAUUUGCAAAAUUAUAUAAUUCAA